rnacentral:rRNA from 1 species
UACGAAGGGGGCUAGCGUUGCUCGGAAUCACUGGGCGUAAAGCGCACGUAGGCGGGUCUUUAAGUCAGAGGUGAAAUCCUGGAGCUCAACUCCAGAACUGCCUUUGAUACUGAAGAUCUUGAGUUCGGGAGAGGUGAGUGGAACUGCGAGUGUAGAGGUGAAAUUCGUAGAUAUUCGCAAGAACACCAGUGGCGAAGGCGGCUCACUGGCCCGAUACUGACGCUGAGGCACGAAAGCGUGGGGAGCAAACAGG